rnacentral:rRNA from 1 species
AGCAGCCGCGGUAAUUCCAGCUCCAAUAGCGUAUAUUAAAGUUGUUGCCGUUAAAAAGCUCGUAGUUGAACUUUGGGCCGGGCUGAUCUGUCCUCCUAAUCGAGCGCACGGAUUCGGUCGGGCCUUUCCUUCUGGGGAGCCCGAUGCCCUUCUCUGGGCGUCGUGGGGAACCAGGACUUUUACCUUGAAAAAAUUAUAGUGUUCUAAGCAGGCCUUUGCUCUAAUACAUUAUCAUGGAAUAAUAUAAUAUGACGUGCGGUUCUAUUUUGUUGGUUUCUAGGACCGCCGUAAUGAUUAAUAAGGAUAGUCGGGGGCGUCAGUAUUCCGCUGGCAGAAGUGAAAUUCUUGGAUUUGCGGAAGACUAACUACUGCGAAAGCAUUCGCCAAGGAUGUUUUCAUUAAUCAAGAACGAAAGUUAGGGGAUCGAAGACGAUCAGAUACCGUCGUAGUCUUAACCAUAAACUAUGCCGACUAGGGAUCGGACGAUGUUAACUUUUCUUGACUCG